rnacentral:rRNA from 1 species
GUACACGCUGUGACUAGCAUAUCAAUAAGCGGAGGAAAAGAAACUAACAAGGAUUCCCCUAGUAACGGCGAGUGAAGCGGGAAGAGCUCAAAUUUGAAAUCUUAAAGGGUUUCCCUUUACGAAUUGUAGUUUAAAGAAGUGUUUUCUGUUGAGGUUUUGGUAAAAGUUCUUUGGAAUAGGACAUCAUAGAGGGUGAGAAUCCCGUAUUUGACCUUUACUUUCAACUUUGUGAUACACUUUCAAAGAGUCGGAUUGUUUGGGAAUGCAGUCCAAAAUGGGUGGUAAAUUUCAUCUAAAGCUAAAUAUUGGCGAGAGACCGAUAGCGAACAAGUACCGUGAGGGAAAGAUGAAAAGAACUUUGAAAAGAGAGUUAAACAGUACGUGAAAUUGUCAAAAGGGAAGCGUUUGACACCAGUGUUGUUUUUCUGAAAAUCAAUUAAAGAACUGCUUAUGCUAAGCUGUUUAGACUUUAUCAGCUAUCUGUUUAGUUUUAGGCUUUUCUUUAAUGCACUUUUCAGUUAACAAGUCAACAUCAAUUUCUUUUGCUGUAAAAAAGCUUGAGGAAGGUGGCUUGAGAUUCGUCUUAAGUGUUUAUAGCCUCUUGCCUAUGCAGUCGGAGAGAUUGAGGUCUGCAGCGUAGAUCCUUCGGGGCUAAAUGCAUUUGUGCUAAGUUAUAGCAUUUUAUAGACAACUUGUUGACUAUGAUUUGUCUUGUAGCUUACUCGCUUAUGUUAUUUUACCUACGCUUAGGAUGUUGAGUCGUAGAGCACGCAG